rnacentral:rRNA from 1 species
CCUACGGGUGGCAGCAGUGAGGAAUAUUGGGCAAUGGAGGCAACUCUGACCCAGCCAUGCCGCGUGAGUGAAGAAGGUUUUCGGAUUGUAAAGCUCUUUCGGCUGUGACGAUGAUGACGGUAGCAUCUAAAGAAGCCCCUGCUAACUUCGUGCCAGCAGCCGCGGUAAUACGAAGGGGGCAAGCGUUGGUCGGAAUUACUGGGCGUAAAGGGAGUGUAGGCGGUUUAGUAAGAUAGUGGUGAAAUCCCAGGGCUUAACUUUGGAAUUGCCAUUAUAACUCUUAGACUAGAGUGAGAGAGAGGAGAGUGGAAUACCAAGUGUAGAGGUGAAAUGCGUAGAUAUUGGGUAGAACACCAGUGGCGAAGGCGACUAUCUGGAUGAAGAUUGACGCUGAGGCUCGAAAGCAUGGGGAGCAAACAGGAUUAGAUACCCUUGUAGUC